AUUAUUAUUAUUAUUCAUGCAAUGCAAGUAUAUUUAUGAAAUAUGUGCAGUUGUUCUUAGUUUUUAGUGCACUGACCAAUAGGUAGAGACGUUUUUCCUUUACACCUGUAUUGUUUUCAUGCUAUUAGCUAUUGAGUCAAAAAGACAGAGGGAGGCCAGUAGGCUUUAAUUGUAUUAUUCUCAGUUUGGCUACUGCUCUAAAGGGAAUAGGUUUGCAAAAAACAUCAAAGGCAAAAGGGCUUGCUAUUUUCUUUUCUUUUUUGUGUAGUUUUUUUAAGUAUUGUUGUAAUUUAGUGCUAGUUUACAGUUUUUAGUGCACUUGCACCUGGUCAUUAAUUUUUAGAGCUCUUAUUCACAUGUAAUAUUUCAUAUGUGUCUCAUUUUAUUAGAAGUUUCAUUAUGUACACAAUAAUUUAUUCAUGUCACUUAGUUAUAUUUUCUAAUUAUAUUCUUGGUGGAUUUUUCUUAUUUAUAUUUUGGUGUUCUUCUAGGUGGUAUUCCUAUCAUCGAAUAGUGUGGCUGGCAUAGAUGGGGAAGAUAAAAUAAUUGUCGUGGAUUUGACGAGGUUCUUGAAGACGUAAUCAUGUGUGUUAGACUGUUAGUAUUCUGAUGCAUAUAUGUUUUAGAGUUACUUCUUUUCUCUGUCAUAUUCACUAAACCGAGUCAGCAUUUUAUUUUAUUUUUUGGGUUUCAUAGGUUUGAUCCUAUUAACAUGUAGGUCAAUCAAGGAGAAUGAAUUCAAAGAUUAGGAGUGCCAAAAGAUACAAAGAUCAAUUUUUUUUUUCCCAAUCUCUACGGGUGUGUUUCUCUCUACAGAUGUGUUUCUAAUAUUAAUCAUCAUUUAAUCUCAUUUCUUUUGUGAUCUCUCUUUUUUUUUGGUUUGAACUAGGAGUUCUUCUAGAUAGCACAAACGAUUUGAUGGAAGAUAGGCUGUGGUUAGUAGUACACUCUGCACUGGCACUAUAACUCUUCAGGUGCACGAUUAUUUUACUUUGCAUUGGUUGUGGCAAGGUAGUUUCUGAUAAAUGCGCGUUAAUUGCAAAUUUAAGGGUAGUUGUGGACUUGAGGAAGGGAGAGAAAAUAAGUAUGUGUCUCCUUUUAUCAUAAGUUUCUUUAUGUCCAUGUAUUUGUUUCAUC
rnacentral:lncRNA from 1 species